rnacentral:rRNA from 1 species
UACGUAGGGUGCAAGCGUUGUCCGGAAUCAUUGGGCGUAAAGAGCUUGUAGGCGGCUUGUCGCGUCUGCUGUGAAAUUUCGGGGCUCAACCCCGAGCCUGCAGUGGGUACGGGCAGACUAGAGUGUGGUAGGGGAGACUGGAAUUCCUGGUGUAGCGGUGAAAUGCGCAGAUAUCAGGAGGAACACCGAUGGCGAAGGCAGGUCUCUGGGCCAUAACUGACGCUGAGGAGCGAAAGCGUGGGGAGCGAACAGG